rnacentral:tRNA from 1 species
GCCCCAGUGGCGCAAUGGAUAGGCGCGUCGGACUUCUAAUCCGGAGGUUGAGGGUUCGAGUCCCCUCCUGGGGUA